rnacentral:lncRNA from 12 species
AGCAUCUGACACAGUAGGUGGUCAAUAAAUAUUUGUUGGAAAAAAUAGCUGAAUAAAGGAACUUUAUUUGUUCUUGGAACUCUAUUAAUGAGAUUCUAGAACAGUCAAUGACAUAGACAUAUGGGUCCCGAGGUGAUGAAACAAAUAGGGCAAGACAUUCCAUUUGAGAGGGUCAUCCAAUUUAUGUUUGAAGCUGGGAAGCAUCACAAUUAUGAUCAGAAGGAGUAAAGUAUCCCUUGCCAUGAAAUUCACACGACAAAGCUGAGUGGCAUGAUUUCCCUGAAAACAGGAAGCCAGAGUUGCCAGACUUGAAGCAAAGAUCCUUGGCCCACACCAUGUUCCCCGCUGGAGCAGUUUCACCUCCUCCUGAAGAAGCUGUUCCACAGGCCGCGCCAGCUGUCCUGGAGCGCUUGGAGGGCUGCUGGGCUGGAAAGGGGACUGUUCUCCUUCACCAGAGACUACAGCACAACUGGACACUUCUUCAUCUGAACCCAAAUGCAAAUGCUCUAAGUUGAGAUGGAGUAUCAUCACUACUGUUACCUUUUAAAAGCAUUACAAAUUCAUUAUUAAUUUCAUUUUGCUUUUGUUUUAACAUUUCUGUAUCUCCCUUGUCUCAAGGUCACUUGGGAAUAAAACCAUUUAUAAAACUGUCUCA